UACGUAGGGUGCAAGCGUUGCUCGGAAUCAUUGGGCGUAAAGAGCGUGUAGGUGGCUAGAUAAGUCGGAUGUGAAAUCCCUCGGCUCAACCGAGGAAGUGCAUUCGAAACUAUCUAGCUCGAGGAUGGCAGAGGAAGGUGGAAUUCCUAGUGUAGAGGUGAAAUUCGUAGAUAUUAGGAGGAAUACCGGUGGCGAAGGCGGCCUUCUGGACCAUUCCUGACACUGAGACGCGAAAGCGUGGGUAGCAAACAGG
rnacentral:rRNA from 1 species